AAAUUUAGGUUACUUAAACCAAGGGCCUUCAAAGCCCUAAACGGGACAUAUCCCAAUUUCUG
rnacentral:tRNA from 1 species